CCUACGGGUGGCAGCAGUCGAGAAUCAUUCACAAUGGGGGAAACCCUGAUGGUGCGACGCCGCGUGGGGGAAUGAAGGUCUUCGGAUUGUAAACCCCUGUCAUGUGGGAGCAAAUUAAAAAGAUAGUACCACAAGAGGAAGAGACGGCUAACUCUGUGCCAGCAGCCGCGGUAAUACAGAGGUCUCAAGCGUUGUUCGGAAUCACUGGGCGUAGAGCGUGCGGAGGCUGAUUCGUAAGUCGUGAGUGAAAGGCGCGGGCUCAAACCGCGAACGGCACAUGACACUGCGAGACUAGAGGAACGGAGGGGGAACCGGAAUUCGCGGUGUACCAGUGAAAUGCGUAGAUAUCGAGUGGAGAACUCGGGG
rnacentral:rRNA from 1 species